AUUCGACAGUUGAAGAUGCAUUUGGUUAGUUGGUUUAUACAUUGCUGGUUCAUUAACAAUCUCUACUUCUAUUUUAUACUGAUUCCAACUGUGUAACAGAUGGAGAAGGAACUUCUCAGCCACUGCAAGGGGAUGGAAAUGAUGUUGCAGCUGUUACAAUCCUUGACGAAUAGUUAAGGUUUGUGUUCUAACUGACAGUUUGAUGUUGCACUGUAAAUUGGAUUGUAUUGUUGUUGAUACAUAUUAAUUCAUUGUUAUCAUUGGCAGAUGAAUUGAUGAGUGAUGAAUUGAAUGCUGCUGAAUUGAUGACAUUUGAUGAGUGCUGAAUAAAAUGGUGCAGAAAUCAGAAUUGCAGAUGCUGAACUGAAGUAGCUGAACUGAAGUAGCAUAGUUGAAGGAAGAACUGAAUUGCAGUUGCUGAAUUGCAGAUUUUGCUGUAGUUGAUACAUUUAAGUUUAUUGAUUGAGUUUCAGUUCGAACAUUUAAGUGUUUUGAUUGUGUUUAGUUUUCAAUUCGAAGUCUGAAUGUAUGAACUAGUGAAUGAGAUGAACUAUACCUUCUGCAGUUUCAAG
rnacentral:lncRNA from 1 species